GGGGGCGGAGAAAAUGUCUGUGUAGGAGAGGAGUCGAGCAGAGAGAGCUGCUUUUUCAUGAAAGGGGAGUAAAGUAAUAAACUUACAGGAACAUAUACCACUACCAACGUUUGGAUUGAUAUCUACAUCGAUCUGCACACCCUUGUCUCCUGGAUCGUAGCUGAGAUCAGUGUGAACCACGUGGGUCUCUGCUCCCUGAUCUGUUUCCUGUUUGGAAAGACUUCCAGCUUCAUCACGGAGUUUCUCUCGGUUUGUGGGCUCAUCUAAAGCUGAGUAACAGGAGUCUGGUGGAGCAGCAGAAGAACAAUUUUGGACUCAGCUCAACCACUACAGAGGAGACAAUGACUUCAACAUGGAAGGACCAACAUGGAGCGAGAAGUCAGCGCUCUCAGGAGGCCGACAAACCUCACAGAAGAAAGG